AAUGAUAAACAAUAACAAACGCGUAGGUAAGCGACAUUCUUUAAGAUUAUUGUUGUCGUAAUGAUGGUGAUGACUCAUCAGCGGGUUCUUUCACGUUUCUGUCCGCCGAGUUCAAGUUGUAUGCGCCUGCUGCCACCAGCGGGGCGCUGAGCUGCCUCGCCUUCUGGAUCGCAGCGGCGAGAGUCGCCCUUGAAGUUAUUACAGGUGAGUCGUGACAGACGGACGGACAGACAGACCAAUAACAGACAGACAGACCAAUAACGGACAGACAGAUCAAUAACGGACUGACAGACCAAUAACGGACACACUGACCAAUAACGGACAGACAGACCAAUAACAGACAGACGGACCAAUAAUGGACAGACAGACCAAUAACAGACAGACAGACCAAUAACAGACGGACGGACCAAUAAUGGACAGACAGACCAAUAACGGACAGACAGACCAACAUACAAUAACGGACGGACGAACCAAUAACGAAUAGACAGACCAAUAACGGACGGACGGGCGGGCAGUCAGACCAAUAACGGACGGACAGACAGACGUCCGUCAGACGGAUGGAAAGACAGACAAACGGAGAGACGGACCAACGGGAGGUCAGACGGACAAACAGAGCAGUCAGAUGGUUAUAUAAACAGAAGAACAGAGAGACGUCCAUGCAAACUGAAGGGCGGACAGUCGAAAACAGAGACAGAUGGACGAACAGACAAACAGAUCUUGUAUCAGCAUUUAUGAUUACUUUAUUUGUUCGGUUUCAGUAUUAGCCAUGAGUAACUUCAUCUCUGGUGGUAUGGGUCCCAAAGCCUCAUACGCUACCGCUAUGGAUGUCUACAUGUUCACGUGUUUGUGUUUGUAGCCUUCUUAGAAUACGCCCUCAUGCACCACCAGAUAUAUUCCAACAAAUGCCAGUGUGCGGCUGACGGACGUUACUCAAGAAAUAGGAACAAAUAACAAAGCGAUAACCGACGACAUAAGAAAGGAAAAAGACCUUGAACACGCAUUAGAAAACACCGGUCUUAGGGGCGAUACGAGCCAUGGUCUUAGCGGCGAUACGAGGGUCUUAGCGGCGAUACGAGGCAUGGUUUUAGCGGUGAUACGAGGAAUGGUCUUAGCGGUGAUACGAGGCAUGGUCUUAGCGGCGAUACGAGGCAUGGUCUUAGCGGCGAUACGAAGCAUGGUCUUAGCGGCGAUACGAAGCAUGGUCUUAGCGGCGAUACGAGGGUCUUAGCGGCGAUACGAGGCAUGGUUUCAGCGGCGAUACGAGGCAUGGUUUUAGCGGUGAUACGAGGAAUGGUCUUAGCGGCGAUACGAACAUGGUCUUAGCGGCGAUACGAGGAAUGGUCUUAGCGGCGAUACGAGGCAUGGUCUUAGCGGCGAUACGAGGAAUGGUCUUAGCGGCGAUACGAGGGCCUUAGCGGCGAUACGAGGCAUGGUUUUAGCGGCGAUACGAGGAAUGGUCUUAGCGGCGAUACGAGGCAUGGUCUCAGCGACGAUACGAGGCAUGGUCUUAGCGGCUAUACGAGGAAUGGUCUUAGCGGCGAUACGAGGAAUGGUCUUAGCGGCGAUACGAGGAAUGGUCUUAGCGGCGAUACGAGGCAUGGUCUUGACUCUCACAAGACUGUGGACCCUAUGACGCAUGCGCGGAUUCAAGAUGCCAGCAGUCCAGGCAUUAGGGACAUGCGCAAUACAGACUUGUGUCGGGGUAACGAAAACGAAAACGAGGCGCGGUGAAACCGGAUGUGACGUCAGCGCAGUGAAUGGUCAUGAGCACAAGGACUCCAUGCAAAAAAGUGGCGUAACUUGGCGCCAAAAUAACCGCCGUAGAUUGCGGAAGGGUCAUUUCACUGAUGAAGCGAAAAGCGGAGCGUUGUAUUCUGGCAAGGGGACUGCUCCGAUGGAACAUGUGUGCUGGUAUUCACGUUUAGGCGAGUACAGCAAAACAUUGUUUCCGAUGAGCUUUGGGCAUUUUAUUUGAUCCUGGAGUGAGAUUGUAAUCGUACUGACAGCUACUUUAAGUAGAAGCGCAUUUUACAUUAUAGGUUUAAAAAGAGAAAAUAUACUGUGACGUCACGCAGCCUAGUCCAAGGCGUUCUUACCCGGUUUCCUGUGGUUGGGUUUCCUGUGGAUGGUAAGAGUUGUGACGUCACAGGAGACAAUAGUUCGUCCCAGCCCCCAAGCUGUCUCACGGCUCAUCUCCGAGCUUAGGAGAGAAGCCUGGGACUUUGCUGACUGUCACGCAUUUUUCUAAAAAUCUGUACAUUGCAGGGUAUAUACAUUAUAUUCUACUUCCAUCCCGUACCAUUGUCAGUGUUUCCGUACUGUUUAAAAUCUGACAGUAAAUCUAAGCUAAGGAACUCUAUUCUUUUUUUUUUU